rnacentral:tRNA from 2 species
GGGGGUAUAGCUCAGUUGGGAGAGCACCUGCUUUGCACGCAGGGGGUCAUCGGUUCAAGUCCGAUUACCUCCA